CAGCAGGACGCCAGGCCCCGCCAGCGCUCGUGGGAUCCUGCCCGGGAUUACCUUCUAUGGGGAGGCCCGGGAGGGCUGUGGGCGGAGCGGAGUGUGCAGCCUGCGCAGGGCCGGCGACGUGGCGGCCCGGCUCCCUCCCUCCUCCCAAGACUCACCCCCGCCCCUGCUCCGGGGACCUGCUGCGGCCCGGGAAGCACGUGGGUCCACCGGCCCCUCCCUCGGGGUGGCUGGAAUCCCGGCCCCUCUCUCACCACCUCUGAGACGCUGAGUACGCCACUAAACCUGGAGCCGCGUGUGACCUGAGGAUUCCUCCUCUGGCUUGGAGCCGGUGAUAAGGGCAGCCCAUCUGCUGGGGGCUCCAAGAACCACAGGCUAAGGAACAACUGCCCCUCAGAGACUCACAGUUGGGAACCACACUGAAGCAGAAUUAAAGGGAUUACAGAGUUUAUCCAACGAACUAUAAGAAUUCCAUGAACAACAGCUUUUUAAAACAUCUCCAGGGGUGAGAGACUCAUCACCUGGUCAGACAGCCUGCUCCCUUGUUGUACAAACGCAGCGGUUAGAAUAGUACCGCCCAACAGAAAGGUACUGCAAGCCACAGGUGUGGCUCGAAAUUUUCUAGAAGCCACAGGAAAAAACCUAAAACGGAACAGGCAAAAUUCAUUUUAAUAAUAUAUA